rnacentral:SRP_RNA from 1 species
UCUUGUAGGCAAAUUUUUGUCAGUGAAUCAGGUCAGGGCAGGAAUGCAGCAGCCUUAAGUUGAAUAAAAGUUGUGCCUGCAUACAUA